rnacentral:rRNA from 1 species
AAAGAUUAAGCCAUGCAUGUCUAAGCACAUGCCUUAAUACGGUGAAGCCGCGAAUAGCUCAUUACAACAGCCAUCGUUUAUUAGAAUAUCGUUAUCCUACUUGGAUAACUGUGGCAAUUCUAGAGCUAAUACAUGCAAUAAAGCUCCGCCCGCAAGGAACGAGCGCAUUUAUUAGAAUAAAAACCAAUCGAGUUUCGGCUCGUAAUUUGGUGAAUCUGAAUAACUUUGCCAAUCGCACAGUCCUAGUACUGGCGAUGUAUCUUUCAAGUGUCUGCCUUAUCAACUUUCGAUGGUACGCUAUACGCCUACCAUGGUAGUAACGGGUAACGGAGAAUAAGGGUUCGACUCCGGAGAGGGAGCCUGAGAAACGGCUACCACAUCCAAGGAAGGCAGCAGGCGCGCAAAUUACCCACUUCCAGAACGGAGAGGUAGUGACGAAAAAUAACGAGACAGUCCUCUUCGAGGUCUGUCAUCGGAAUGGGUACAAUUUAAAUCCUUUAACGAGGAUCUAUUGGAGGGCAAGUCUGGUGCCAGCAGCCGCGGUAAUUCCAGCUCCAAUAGCGUAUAUUAAAGUUGUUGUGGUUAAAAAGCUCGUAGUUGGAUCUGCGUUCGGCCGGGGUGGUCCCCCACUGGGCGGCACUACUUCGGCUGGACUAAUCAUUCGGUUUUCUCUUGAUGCUCUUAACUGAGUGUCUUGAGUGGCCGGAACGUUUACUUUGAAAAGAUUAGAGUGCUCAAAGCAGGCCGUUUGCCUGAAUAACCGCGCAUGGAAUAAUGGAAUAGGACCUCGGUUCUAUUUUGUUGGUUUUCGGAACUUGAGGUAAUGAUUAAGAGGGACAGACGGGGGCAUUCGUAUUACGGUGUUAGAGGUGAAAUUCUUGGAUCGCCGUAAGACGAACUACUGCGAAAGCAUUUGCCAAGAAUG